rnacentral:rRNA from 1 species
AUUGAACGCUGGCGGCAGGCCUAACACAUGCAAGUCGAGCGAGCGGCGGACGGGUGAGUAAUGUAUCGGAACGUGCCCAGUAGCGGGGGAAAAAUAGUCGAAAAAGAGGCUAAUACCGCAUACGAUUGGAGCGGCCGAUAUUGGAUUAGCUAGUUGGUGGGGUACAGGCCCACCAAGGCUACGACCCGUAGCUGGUUUGAGAGGACGACCAGCCACACUGGGACUGAGACACGGCCCAGACUCCUACGGGAGGCAGCAGUGGGGAAUUUUGGACAAUGGGCGAAACCCUUAUCCAGCCAUCCCGCGUGUAUGAGAAGGCCUUCGGGUUGUAAAGUACUUUUGGCAGAGAAGCGGUAUCUGCAGAAUAAGCACCGGCUAACUACGUGCCAGCAGCCGCGGUAAUUC